AACAAGACUAACAUUGGAUUUCCACAGCUCUUUCGGCAGUGGGCUGGAAAGUGCUAUUAAAACAUGGCUGUUUCAUAAUUUCCCUAUUGGAAAUGCGGUCUCACUACGUUGCCCAGGCUGGUCUUGAAUUCCUGGUCUCAAGCAGUCCUCCCACCUAAGCCUCCCAAAGUGCUGGGAUUACAGAAAAUGGUAAACAAGGGAAAGAAAGAGGAGUUCCAGACCCUGCAUACCAAAAUAUUACAGACACACAGGAAAUGACUCUUCAAAUCCAGGCUGUAAACCUGUCAUUUCGUGGGCUUGUCUGUGGGCCUAGAAAAGCGAGACAAAGAUCACACCGAAGACAUUACUGUUUGGGGCUGGCUGUACUGGAGGACCUCUGGAGGCCUUUCCAUGCCAGGUGCUAUGAUUCUAAACUCAAGUCAUAAAAUGAAAUGUUAGAGGAAAGCCAAUGAAAUUUGAGGCAGAACUUGUGGCUUAAAGCUCAUUUUGCUUUAAAAAAUGUAGACUUUGAAAAACUGUUCUUUACAAGCAACAAAAAUUUUUUAAAGAAACUGAAAAGCUAAAAAAUAUUUUUUGGGGGGAGGGAGUAAUAUUCUCAGCCCUAUUACUAUCUUUUAAGGCUUUCGAUUACAGAUACUCCAAACAUGUAAUAAGUUACUAAGUCCUUAAAAUAUGUAUUAAUCUUCCUAAAAGAUUUGCAUAUUGACUUUAAUCCACGUAAAAGAUGUUUCUGGUGUAUUUAACCAAUGCUGCU
rnacentral:lncRNA from 1 species